rnacentral:misc_RNA from 1 species
GAAAUGCGAUAAGUAAUGCGAAUUGCAGAAUUUCCGUGAAUCAUCGAAUCUUUGAACGCACAUUGCGCCCGCCAGUAUUCUGGCGGGCAUGCCUGUCCGAGCGUCAUUUCAACCAUCAAGCCCCCGGGCUUGUGUUGGGGACCUGCGGCUGCCCGCAGGCCCUGAAAACCAGUGGCGGGCUCGCUGUCACACCGAGCGUAGUAGCAAUCACCUCGCUCAGGGCGUGCUGCGGGUUCCGGCCGUUAAACAGCCUUACAAAACCCAAGGUUGACCUCGGAUCAGGUAGGAAGACCCGCUGAACUUAAGC